rnacentral:rRNA from 1 species
GACGAACGCUGGCGGCGUGCUUAACACGUGCAAGUCGAACGGAAAGGCCCUGCUUUUGUGGGGUGCUCGAGUGGCGAACGGGUGAGUAACACGUGAGUAACCUGCCCUUGACUUUGGGAUAACUUCAGGAAACUGGGGCUAAUACCGGAUAGGAGCUCCUGCUGCAUGGUGGGGGUUGGAAAGUUUCGGCGGUUGGGGAUGGACUCGCGGCUUAUCAGCUUGUUGGUGGGGUAGUGGCUUACCAAGGCUUUGACGGGUAGCCGGCCUGAGAGGGUGACCGGCCACAUUGGGACUGAGAGACGGACCAGACUCCUACGGGAGGCAGCAGUGGGGAAUAUUGCACAAUGGGCGGAAGCCGGAUGCAGCAACGCCGCGUGCGGGAUGACGGCCUUCGGGGUGUAAACCGCUUUCGCCUGUGACGAAGCGUGAGUGACGGUAAUGGGUAAAGAAGCACCGGCUAACUACGUG